CGGGAUUUCCCCAGGGGAGUUUUUCCCACAUACACACACUCCCUUGUUCUCUACCCUCUGGGGACUUUCAGAGGCUGGCCUGGAUCGGGUGGUGUCCACCUCUGGGUCAGUGUCUGACAGCCCCACCUCUCUUUCUCUCCCCUGUGGUAACCCUGAUUGGGCCCUGCCUCUCUAGGAGCUGUGUGCAAAUUCUGCCUUCCCCGGGAGUCUGAGCUGUACCAGAAAGAGGUGGCGCACCUGGGCGCCCUUGAGGAGCGGUUCUCCCGCCUCUGGACGCAAUGCCAGCGCUGCCAGGGCAGUCUGCAUGAGGACGUGCUCUGUACCAGCCGAGAUUGUCCCAUCUUCUACAUGCGGAAGAAGGUACAGAAGGAUCUGGACGACCAGGAGCAGCUCCUGGCUCGAUUCGGGCCCCCGGGCCCGGCCACCUGGUGACAGAGGACGCGGCUGUGGACGUUGGCAUCAAUAAAGCUGUGGGGCUUUGGG
rnacentral:lncRNA from 1 species